CGAGUCCUACUCUUGCCACCA
rnacentral:misc_RNA from 1 species